UUUUGAUCUGAAAUCAGGCGGGAUUACC
rnacentral:rRNA from 1 species